rnacentral:rRNA from 1 species
UACAGAGGUCUCAAGCGUUGUUCGGAUUCAUUGGGCGUAAAGGGUGCGUAGGUGGCGCCGUAAGUCGGGUGUGAAAUUUCGGAGCUUAACUCCGAAACUGCGUCCGAUACUGGCAGGCUUGAAUCCGGGAGAGGGAUGCGGAAUUCCAGGUGUAGCGGUGAAAUGCGUAGAUAUCUGGAGGAACACCAAUUGCGAAGGCAGCUCGCUGGGACGUUACUGACGCUGAGACGCGAAAGCGUGGGGAGCAAACAGG